rnacentral:sRNA from 1 species
GCUGGGCACCGCAGCGCAUGCCUGUAAUCCCAGCAACUCGGGAGGCUGAGGCAGAAGGAUCGCAAGUUCAAAGCCAGCCUCAGCAAUUUAGCAAGGCACUUAGCAACUCAGCAAGACCCUGUCUCUA